rnacentral:lncRNA from 1 species
AAGAAUAGAGGAUAGCUUGAUAUUUUGAGUACAAAUAAUAGAAUCGGUUACAGAGAUAGGAGUAGAAAAAGCAUCUGCGAUUCUAACAUUAUCUUUUUGUAGACAUGGAAGAUAAUUAAAGAAGCCUUCAAAGGAGCCGUCAUGUGUCUAUUUGCACUAGAAACAAUAAUACAUAGAGCAGAAAUUAUAAAAGAUCCUUACAUUACCCAUACAAGUGACAGCCAUUUCAAGAAAAAACCAUCCUUUUUCUGUCAAAAACGGUGGAAAAAUUAUUGUUACUUGAAGAAUUUUGGGAGGAAUUUUUUAUUCUAUUCCAAUUGAAUUGAUCUUUACAAGGUUUGAGUAUUUAUACACAAAGAAUCAACCUAAAGUAGGAAUAUUUACAAUAAGAAUAAAAUCCCUUAACUCAAGCCUAAUUAGGAUCCCAAAGAUUUAAAUCCUCCUAAUUAGGAACCUUCUAUGUUGGUCAACAUUUCCCCUUAAGUUGGUACAUAGAUAUCACACAUAUCCAACUUGCAAACCAAGGUAUGAUAGGUUUUGUUGUUGAGCCCUUUGGUAAACACAUCAGCUAACUGUUCAUCGGAAGUCACAUGAUCUAACGUCAAAACACCAUUUAUUAACUUCUCUUUAAUGAAGUGUCGAUCAAUAUCUAUGUGCUUCAUUUGGUCAUGUUGAACCGGAUUGCGAGCUAUACUGAUGGCAACUUUGUUUUCACAGUACAAUAGGAGUUUGUCCCUCUCCAAUAGUUUCAAUUCUUCCAACUAUCUCUGCAACCAUAGGAGUUCACAAAGCCAUCGCUCUAUAUUCCGCUUCAGCACUUGAUCGAGCAACACCACUUUCCUUUUUGCUUCUCCACGUGACAAGGUUUCCUCCCACAAGUAUACAGUACCCACUAAUCGACCUUCUAUCAUUAAGGGAUCCAACCCAAUCUGCAUUUAUGAAUGAAUGUAUGUGAAAAUGACUAUGUUGAGAGAAUAGAAGACCUUUUCCAGAAACAGACUUCAAGUAUCGCAAAAUGCGAAAAACAGUUUGCUUGUGAGGCUCACGAGGAUCAUGUAUAAACUGACUAAACUGACUGCAUAUGCUGUCUGGUCGAGUAUGUGAAGCCAGUCUGCCUACCAACCUCUGAUAUUUACCCGUAUCUACUGAUUCACCAAUCCCUGCUUGUAGCUUGUUAUUGCUCUUAAUGGGAGUUUCUGCUAGUUUGCAACUUAACAUACCAAUUUCUUCUAAAAGAUCAAUAUAUUUUCUCUGAGAAAUAAAGAUUCCCUGCUUUGACCUGGCAACCUCGAUUCCCAAGAAAGAUCUUUAAUUUCGAACUCCUAAGCCAAAAGCUUUUUCAACCUAGUCAUCUCUUCAGUGUCAUCCACUGUCAUUACUAUGUUAUCAACAUAGACGGUAAGAAAAGUAAUUUUACUCUGGUGAUGUCUGAUAAAUAGGAUAUGGUCAGCAUUGGUCUGUUGAUAGCCAAAGGAAAUCAUAUCUCUACUGAAUCGAUCAAACCAAGCUCUUGGUGACGGCUUCAACCUAUAUAAAGCCUUCUUUAGCCUGCACGCCUUUCCUUGUGUUUUCUCCUCAGCAAAUCCAAGAGAGAUUUUCAUAUACACUUCCUCCUUUAAGUCUCUAUGGAGGAAUGCAUUUUUCACAUCAAAUUGUUGUAGAUCCUAGUCAAGGUUGCCGGUGCAAGAUAGUAAUACUAUGAUUAAGUUCAUUUUGGCAACAGGAGCAAAUAUCUCUUGGUAAUCCACUCCAUAGGUUUGCAUGUAUCCCCUGGCCACUAAUCCAGCCUUGUAUCUUUCAAUUGAUCCAUCUGCUUUGUGUUUCACAGUGAACACACAUUUGCAGCCAAUAAGUUUCUCCCCAGGUGGGAGUAACAAGCUCGCAUGUCUCAUUUUUGGCUAGUGCUUUUAUCUCUUUAAUCAUUGCUCCCUUCCAUUUAGGAUCUGAAAGAGCUUCCUUCCAAUCUUGUGGAAUAGACACAGAGGAAAUAGAUAAGGUAAAGGCUCUAUAAGAUGGAGACAAAGAAUCAUAAAAGAGAAAGUUAGAAAUAGAGUGCUUUGUGCAAGAUCUAACUCCUUUUCUUUGAGCAAUUGGUUUAUUUAAAUCAUCAAAGGGCUCAAGGUUUAGGAAUGACUCACCAGAUGGAGAAGAGGAAGAUUCAUGACACCGAGUAGGCUGCACAAUGACUUUUUCUGCUUCUGUUUUGUCUCUUCUUGAGUAUCUAUUUAAAUCUGAUUUAUUCAAACGCCUAAUUGGGUCACUAAUAGUCCCCCGUAUAAUAGUCUCCUGAUCACAAAUAGUCUCCCUCUGUAUAGUAGUCUCCUCUAGUGUAAAACGUUUUAGAGUUAUAGGACUAGAAAUCAUCUCUUCUCCCUCAUUGUCCUUCCUCUAAAGAGUUGAUGGAGUAGUACUGAAGUAAAGUUUAAUCUCUCUAAAUGUAAUAUCCAUACUGAAAAAAUAUUUUCUAGAUGAAAAGUGGUAACACGUGUAACCCUUUCGUAUAGGAGAGUACCCAACAAACACACAUUUAAUAGCCCUCGGAUCGAGCUUCCCACCUGUCCUAAUAUGAAUAAAACACGUGCAUCCAAAGACCUUUGGUGAAAUAAUAUAAGCAUUUUUCCCUUGUAGCACCUCUAAAGGGCUUUUAAAGAUAAAAGCUUUAAGAGACAUUCUAUUAAUGAGAUAAGCUGCGGCUAGGACUGCAUCUCCCCAAUAGAUUUUUAGAAGAUUCAUGGUGAAAAGAAGAGAUCGGGCUACUUCCAAUAGGUGUAUUUUUUCUUUCAGCAACACCAUUUUGGGCACUAAUAUAAGGACAGUUAGUUUGAUGCACUAUCCCAUUAGACUCCAAAUAAGCUGAAAAAGGCCAUCCAUGUACUCUGUACCAUUACCAGUUCUCAAAACUUUUAUCUUAGCAUCAAAUUGAGUACAAAUCAUCUUGUGAAAAGAUUGAAAGCAAGAAAUCACAUCACUCUUUGCCUUUAUCAAAUAAACUCAAAUCAUACAAAUGCAACAAUCAAUAAAAGUAACAAACAAACAAUUACUAGAUAGUGAGAUCGUUUGAGUACCCCAAACAUUAGAAUGGAUCGUCACAAAAGAGAUCGUACUCCUAUUGUUGCUGGAGGGAUAAGAGAUUCUUGUAUGCUAAGCAUACUCACAAGCAUCACAAACUAAAGAACUGCAUUGAGUCUUGGAAAAUAAAUUAGGAUAAAGUUUCUCUAAAACAAAGAAAGAUGGGUGUCCUAACUGUCGAUGCUACUGUAUGAUUUCCUGGUUGACAUCCUGAUUUCUUCCAGAAAGAGCCUAAGGUGAAUUCAAACUUAGAUUCCCUUCCAACAUAUAUAAGGCAUCGUGCAAUCUACCAUUGCAAAUCCUAUUCCCAGUUUGAAGGUCCUGAAUAACAUAAUAGUCAGGAAAAAAUGCAACUUUACAGUUAAGUGCUUUGGUAAGAGCACUAACAGAUAAAAAAUUAAUAGGGAAACAAGAAACAUGAAGAAUAGAGAAUAGCUUGAUAUUUGGAGUACAAAUAAUAGAGUCUGUUCCAGAUGUAGGAGUGGAAAAGCAGCGAUUCUGACAGUGUCUUUUUGUAGACAUGGAAGAUAAUUAAAGAAGCCUUCAGAGGAGCCCGUCAUAUGUCUAUUUGCACUAUAAUCAAUAAUCCAUGAAGCAGAAUCAAGAGACAAAACAAAAGCAUUAUCAGAAGUUCUUACAUUACCCACAAAAGUCAUUGCCAUUUUAAGAAAAAACUAUCAUUUUUCUGUCAAAAAUAGCGAAAAAUUAUUGUUAUUGAAGAAAGAAUUACUGCUCACCGGCAAAAAAGGCAUGGGUCCAGUAGAUCAUAGGUGCGACUUGAAGGCGAGUCUACCAGAAAGGAUCGCCGUCGAAAAAGACCACUGGAAAAUGUCACAUGCGCCGGCGCAUGGGAAAGAUGCAGAAUCUUGCGAGGGGGCGUGAGCCUCGCGCGUGGCUUUCCGGCAUUGGAACUGGCCGGCUGGCCAGCAACGGUCCGGUGACCCUGUUGGUGGCGAUGGUGAGAUGAAAAAAAAAGUUCCUAGAUAGGGUAGUACCAAAAAGGUAGAUCUAGAGUUUUAGAAAUCCUAAGAGAAAAAUUGAAUUUAAACCUUAAAAUCAGAACAAAAAAGCUUUGAUACCAUGAAGAAUUUUGAGAAGAAUUUUUUAUUGCAUUCCAAUUAAAUUAAUAUUUACAAGGUUUGAGUAUUUAUACACAAAGAAUCAAUCAAAAUUAAGAAUAUUUACAAUGAGAAUAAAAUCUCAUAAUUCAAGCCUAAUUAGGAUCUCAAAGAUUUGAAUCCUCCUAAUUAAAAACCUUCUAUGUUGGUCAAUAUUACUGAAGAAAGAAUUACUGUUCAUUGGCGAAAAAGCACAGGUCCAGACAGAUCAGAGGCGCAACUUGAAGACAUGUCUGUCGAAAAGAAUCAUUGCCAGAAAAAACAUCGAGAAACGUCUCCCACGCCGAAAAAAGGUUAACCAAUUCACGGGUUCACAUAGGUCAAAGGCGCGACUUGAAGACGAGUCCGCCGUAAAGGAUCGCCGUCGAAGAAGACCAUCAGAAAUGUCACACGCGCCGGCGCGUGGCAAAUAUGUAGAAUCUUGCGAUGGUGGUGGCUUCACGCACGUGACCGGACAGCGACAACGGAAAUAGGCCGAAAAUGGGAUGGGCUUUCCUUCGGGACGGAUGGUGUCGAACAACUCUCUUGAUAUAGUCGCCUAGAAGCUUGACCUAUUAUUAACCCUAACUUUUUUUGUGACAGGUUUGAAACUUAUGCUAAUUAAGCUGGCAUAGCUAUAAUACCAUAAAGAAUUUUAGGAGGAAUUUUUUAUUCUAUUCCAAUUGCUUUGAUCUUUAUAAGGUUUGAUUAUUUAUAAACAAAGAAUCAACCUAAACUAGAAAUAUUUAUAAUAAGAAUAAAAUUCCUAUAAUCAAACCUAAUUAGAAUCCCAAAGAUUUGAAUUUUCCUAAUUGGGAACCUUCUAUGUUGGUCAACAUAUAGUAAUUUUACUAGUCCCAUUCAUGACUAAAGACCAGACAAUUACAUCAUGUCAUUUUUGUAGUUCUACGUUGGUUGAAAUUAAAAUCACUUUAUAAUAAUUCAUUGAGAAAUAUGACAGCUAUUCAUAAUAUUAACAAAAAUUUAUUUCCCAUUGUUAAAAAAUUUACUUGAUAGUAUCAAACAAGAAGUUGGAGGGUUCAAUAGAAUGGAAGUGCCAACUAAGGCCCAAUAACAAAACUAAUAAGAAAGAAUCAAGGGCUUUAAUAUGGUUUUUCAAACUUUUUCUAUUACUUUCUUUAGCAAUUAUCUAAGCAAAAAUAACAAUCCCAUGCAAUAGCAAAACAGGGAUUCAGAUGUCUGUAUCUUGCCAUCUUUUCACAAAGCAGCCAUAUAAAGAAAAUCUUAUGCCUAAAGCAAUAGGUUACCUUAGAAAUCCAACAACUGGCUCAACAAGUGGCUCCCAUGCUUCAUACUUAUCAUUAUAUGAUCUCGCAGCCAAAGAGAAACUGAUAGUAGAAUUCAAGUAAUCAGUUCUUCCAUGCAAAUUGAACCCUAUUCCACUUAAAGAUACAUUGAACAAUGGAACCAUCUGCAAAUUUCAUUAAACAAAUUAACGUCAUAAUAACAGCAAUCUGUAGUUACCUAGUUUCUGAAAAGAGAACAUGGUUAAAACUCUAAAAUAUUGAUUGAAGCAUUUCAGAGAAUAUAAACUACUGAAACUUCAUGAUAAUAUGUUUCAGAAGGAUCAAAACAAUCAAAACGCUCAGAGAAAAAAAGACAACAAUAGGCUAAAAACAUAAGAAAGUGGACCAUCUUAGAGGUCUCGGCAUGGAUUUAAAAUCAUGGUCAUGGUAACCACCAUCCCUACGCUUUUUUUUUUUUUCUUGAACGAAUAGAUGUUUUAAGAUACAAGUAAAACUAAGAUGCACAACAAAAUGAUAAUCAUAAAUAUAUCCAAUAAAGAUAUUAAAUUUGUCAUUCAUAGACAUCAUUAGCAUUAAUCAAUUUAAAGCUAAAAUAAAUAUGUGGAUGGUAAAGAAUAAUGCUUCAUACUAAAAUUUUAAUUAAAAACAAACAAACAAGCAAACACAGUUUUCUUGAACAACAAGGGGAAAACUAGAUACAAAGAUAAAUAACUCAACUUUUACAUGUAGAACUAGAAAGAUAGUUGAUGAUAUUAGAGAAGAAUUGAAACAUCUGUAGAAAACUAGCAGAAUUUUGAUGGAAAUUUGAGAGAGAAAGUGAGACACAACAGCUUAAACUCCCCAGACUAGAAAAGAAGAAUGAGGAAGAGUUGUUAGCCCCUAGCUGGCCUUAAAAGAUAAGUGAGGUAAUGGAUCAUUACAUUACCUAAUAGUAAAUAACAGCAGUUACCGUUAAAUAACAGUCGCUAUGAUUACAAAUUUUCUUUUGCCUUUAAAUAACAGGUUUCACAGCGAUGGAAUGGGCCAAAAACCUAUAAAUAUGGUACAGUUGUUACAUAAUAUAAUGGCUGCAGCGAAAAAAAAAAAAAAGAGCCCCAAAUUGUAAGGUGACAAAGCAAUAAAUACUUCAAUAAUUCAUAAGGGACAAUCUGGAAAAAGCAAAACAUUUAAAUGCUACAACUAUCAUUUGAAACUCAGAACUCAAAGGGAUACCUAAACAACACAGAGAAACGCAAGCAAGAGCAUUUGAAACCAUAUCAACUCUAACCCUCACCUCAACUCCAUAAUGCUCCUUGUUAUUUUACAAUUCGACAGUGUUCAUCAUAAGAGACACAAAAGAACAUUAAAUCAGUUUUCUAUGAAAUUCUUUACUUCUGAAGUUGAAGUUUAAAGGUGAAACUGCAAAAAACCGUCCAUUAAAAAUGUAAAUUUUACAUCCAAGACCAGCAAAUAUUUGAAGCAAGAGAAAGUAUAGAAGACUAAGGUAGACAAACCUAAAAUGACCUUUUUUUUUUUUUUGGCUGAGCAGUGUGUUCACCUGCCAGUCAUAGGUCAACAUGCCUAUAACAUCAGAAUAUCCCAAUGGUUCCCAACUAAAACGAAAGCCAUGAAAAGGUUCAUUGGGAGUCAGACAACAUAUACAAGCAAUCAGACACCACUCAGUUCCCUCAGCUAGUAAAUGCCAAGGAUUUGACACUUUGCUCAUUUUUCAUAAAUUGAUGUUACAUAUAUAUUAAAGUAAAGAUCAGUGCAUUUCAUGGAAAAAGACGAAGUACUUAGACAACAUAGAGAAAACAAAAUUAUGUUCAGUUGCAACAGAAAAAAUAGUACACUGCAACUUAUUGAGCAAUGCAUGAGUCCAGAUAUCUAUCAGACCAAAAAAACAGUCGAAGCAUCAGACUUGUGCAUCAUGCCAUCACAUCCCCAGUUCCCACAGGUUACAAAAAUAGACAUUCCCAUUUCAACACCCAACCCAACUUCAGGAAUGGCACCGACCAGAUAUUCAAACACUUCACAAUAUUUUUUAUCCAAUCCAAAAGAACCCAAUUAUGAUUCUCAAAAUCUGAACUUGACCCAAAAAUAUUAGUUAAUCACAAAAGCAAACAAACCAGUUUUAACAGUUCAGUUUUAACUUCAUUUUAGGACUUUCUUUUUUUAAUUCAGUUUUAAAAUAAUUCUUUGCAACAGGAAAAAUAUCCUAAAGCAUAUAUUUGUCUAUUUACAUUAUUCAUAGUCUCAUGGACCUGAAUCUCAAGUUCAGUAUGUUAUAUCAGCAAGCAUAUAUUAAUACACAAUAGGGAAUUUCAAAAUGAUGAAAACAAUUUUAAAUAAUGCUACAAGAAACCAAACUCUCACCAUGCCACCAUAAUCAUCAAAAAUGACUGCAGAAAAGGUUCCAAUUUUUGCAUCAACAACAGUAUCAUUGGAAACACUUGGUAUAUUAGUAUCAGCCAACUUUAGAGCAAACCGUUUUGGAGGUUUUUUGAAACCAUUGCGGACCAUGAAGGUCCCCAACUCACUUCCAACUGUCCAUACACUAAAUGGUUCUGCUGUAAGCUUGGCUUCUGAUGUAUCCCAUACACUUUCCUCCAAGAAUUGAUCCCCAGCAACCAUGUCACUGCGCAUGCAUCUUAACUUGCUGAAAUCAUGAAGUUUUGGUGAGCCCUUACAUGCAAUGCAGCCCAAUGAAACAAAGCCUGGGGGGGCUUGGGGCAUCCAGAAAGAAAUACUCUCCAUGCCCCUCUGUUUCUUUAUCUGUCCAACGAGUUGAUAAUCCAGAGGAGCUUUGAAAAACUCUUCAUCCCCAGUAUCAUGAAGGACAAUGCAAGUAUUGGGAGGCUCAUACCUAACUUCCAAAAAAAUCAAAGAAAAUUAACCUUACCUAGUCUAAAAUGGGGAAAUUAACAUAUAAGACAAUCAUAAUAAGUACUACAUACCCUUUAACAGCGAUAUCACCGAAAUAUACCAUCCCCUGAGGGACUAUUGGACGCCAUAUGGAAAAUUUCUUCCUUGAGGUUGAAGUCCGGUUCCACCAUAUCAAUUGAAAACUGGCAACAGCUUCAAACCGUCGCGCAGAGUUUACAGAUGAUGAUUUUCCUGAUUGAAGUCCAUCAACAUCUCCUGUAGAGAAAGCUUGUGCAUCUGAAUUUUUGGAUGCUUUUGGAGAAAACUCUUGGAGCCCAAAUUUUAUAUUGCGUAACUCAUAAGAACCACCCAGUAAGCCAAGAGUCAUUGGAUCUGCCGGCAAGAAAGUACCCAAAGAAUUUUCCACACGCCAAAAGGCCAAAGCUGAUGGAUACCUGAAAUUUGAAAAGAAAAAUAGAAAACAGAUAAUUCCAUCAGUUGAACCAAAUAGCACUGUGUGUGCACCUGUUCAUAUGCAUGAGAAGAAGUAUAGAUCCAUGUGUUUGUGCAUGCAUGUAUCUGUGCAUGUGCAAAAUUAACCCAUAUAAGAGAAUAAUUUAGAAAAUUUCAGCAUACAGGUUGGGAGAGAAGAUGGCAAUACAAUCCCUCAGGGGACAAGGAGAAACUAGAGAAGCCAAGAUGCAAAAAACAGAAGACAAAGGUGGUGGUUUUCUUCCUGCAGACACCACACAGCCCAAUGCAACAUAACCUCUGGGUGCUUCAGGAAACCAAAUGGAACAGCUAUCAUCUCCACUGCUUUGACCAUUUGGUAAAGUGACAGAACUGGUUAUGCCUUGAUUAGAAAUUUCCUUAGAAGCUAAUAGUGGCCAAAUUAGUUUGAAAGAUAUAGGUCUUUUGACUCUUGCAAAGUUCAUAUUCACAGCAACGACUCCUUUUGUAGGAGGCUUGUCCCUGCCAUGUGCAAAGCAGUUAUAUGAAAGUAAGGAAAUAAUACAUAGACAUAACCUUAAAAUAACACUGUUAAAAGUUGUUACGGACAAUGGAGUCAAAUAGUCUCCAAGAACUGCAAAGCCAGGUGGUGCACGAGGUCUCCAGAAGGCAUAGACUUGGUCACUAUGUGGAUCUGCAAAGCACAAUGAUAAGGCAAUAAAUCAACAUCACAAAUCUUAACGCAUGUUCUUGUCCUCUUAUCAUUGAUCCACAAGAGGGAAGAAGCAAGCAUAACAUACUUCUUAUUGUUCCAACUUUAUCAAACUCAAAACAGGCUACUGUUUUCUGUUUUGAAGUCAUCCUCAGAAAUGACAAGAUGUCCUCUUCAACUGCUAAAAAAAGUCUCAAAAUGCUGAAAGUAAAGUUCAUGAAUAUAUUUGUAAUAGAUAAAUGAAUCUCUGUCUUCCCAGAAGCAUUCAAAUAACUCAUAGACGUAUCAAACGGCUCCAAAAUCCUGAUUCCAUUGCUCUCCAUCAUCAAACCAAGUGCAUUUGCAGUCAUUUCAAUUAUAUCACCCCUCAAAACAAGCCUGCUAACACCAAAAGUAAACCAAAUGUCAUCAUUCCAUCAAUUAUAUUUUCUCAUAUUUCCAAUAAGAAAUCCUUCAAUAUCUCAAGACAUCAAGAUUAGAAGUAACAACUGCAAAAUAUUUGCAAAGAGGGAUGCACAUUUCUCAAUUUUUUCAUUCAUGAUGUAUUUUUGCAAGGUGGGACAAUAAAAAAGCACCAAAUAAUAGUUUUUGCUCGUCAAAAAAAUAUAUGUGAAGGAACUUCUGAACUCAGAAAAUAAUUGAACAACAAAUAUUGUUUAGUGUAUAUUAAUCAAUACGCUAGUGAAGCAAUUCAACAUGAAUUAUCGUAGAACCACAUCCAUAGCAAGAGACAUUAUAGAUUCCCUUAUCAUGGCAAGAGACAUCAUAGGUAUUAUUUGCAGGUUUUUCAAGGCCCAGUUAUCCAUUAUCCCAUUGUGUAUAGGCACUUUCUGAGUUACAUGGGUAACAACCACUAUUGCCAUUACUUAAAAGCCAUUAUUUUAACAAUGAGUAGCAGUAAUGUGCGCUACCUGCAAUAAUGAAGCUACUACAAAUAACAUGUAGGAGUAUUUUCUUCAUUAGUUUUCAGUCUUUGCAUGUCCUACCCAUUCAAACCUACUGCUUCUAUCACAUUCUCAAAAAAUUUCUCCUCCUUUGUAGAGAUCUCUCCCUUUCAAGUUUAAAUUAUUAUAAAUAUAUCAACGGAGGGGGAAGAAGAUGGAGAUUCUUGGCAUUGAGUAGACUACACAUUAGUUUUUUCCGCCUUAUCUCUCCUAGAAUAUCUCCUCAAGUCUGGCCUAUCUAGAGGUCCCUUUUAGAUAACAUAGAAUUUGUUUUAGAUCAGAUCAAUAUUUCACUAUAUGUAUAGAUAUAAAUUGACUUACAACGCUUACUGCAAAAGCAAUAUCUGGACGAUUCAUCACCUUAAGAUAGUUCAACAUUAGUUUCAAUUCAAAUUCUUGAACAAUUUUACUAAACAUGCCAAACCAUGCACAGAGACAUUGUUUCAAUUCAUACUGUUGACUUAUUUCCUAAUUCUAAGGAUAUGAUUUGAUUUGAUUAGGAUCUUCAAUUAUCUCUAUAAUUAUUAUUUGAUUAUUUACUUCCUGUUUCAUUAUAAUUCUUUGUGUAUAAAUAGUCAUGUAAAUCAUUUGUAAAAAUCAAGAGUGAAAUACAAGAAUACUCUAAAAUUCUCCAAAAUUCUUCAUGGUAUCAAAACUUUUUCCUCAUUUUAGAGUUUAAAUUCAAUCUUUCCUCUUUAGGGUUUCAAAACCAUAGAUGUAUCUUUUUGGUACUACCCCAUCUAGAAACCUUUUCACCUCUCACCGCAGGCACUAGGAGAAUCGUCAAACUGUCGCUGACCUGACCGCCUAGCUCCGACAUUGGAAAAUCCAGUGCGUGAGGGUCACGCGCCGAUCACUCCAGCGCCGAUUCCAACUGUCUUUCCGGCCUUCCCGUGCUGCUACCUAGUCUUUUGGUUAUUCGAUUGGGCUCUCUUGCAUGUACAACCUUAGAUACCUCCUAUUCUUUCACGGUUUAUUUAUUUUUACCAUGGCAGAAGGUAAAAGGGUCAUGGUAGAAAGUAAAAGGAUCUCAAUUCCUAACUGUAAUAAUACUUCCUUGCAAAUUAGUCCUGUAAAACUUGAUGAAACCAAUUAUCUUGCUUGGUUAAGGUCUUAUUUGUUAUUUAUCAAGGCUAGAGGACUACAGGGCUAUGUCACUGGUAAUAAAAAGCAACCGAAUGAGAGUGAUCUAGAUUUUCCUCAAUGGGACUUGGACAAUUGUCUUGUUAUGACAUGGUUACUUAACUCUAUGCAACCUCGUAUCUCUAAAUCCUAUUUGUUAAUUAAUACUGCUACAAAGAUAUGGAAAGGUUUGUCCUUAACUUAUUCCAAGAUUGGGAAUGAUGCCCAAAUUUAUGAUAUUUGAAAUAAGAUCCAUGGUACUAAGCAAGGAGAAAUGACUAUCUCCCAAUUUUAUUAUGAGUUAUGUGGCUUAUGGCAGGAACAUGAUUGCUAUCAGGACUUCUAGGCAGACUGUACUGGAGAUGCAGUCAAAUUUCGGAGAAUGAUUGAAAAGGAGUGUUAUAGAUUAUAGGAAGUAAAUAUAUUAAUAUAGGAAGUAAAUAUUGAUAGAUGGGUUAGUUGCUUAAUUUUAGGGAUUGUAUAAUUAUAGACUUGAUUUUCUUUCCUGUUUAGAUACCGUCUUUUAUAUAUAAAUAGGUUGUAAUCUUUAUUAUGAAAUACAUCAAAUAUUAUAUUUCUACAUGGUAUCAGAGCCAGGUUUGUAGAGAUUUAUUUUCUCUCUCGUCAAGUUUUAAAUUUUUGGAGACUCAGGACUCCUGUUCUUUUGUGUUAUCCAUCUAGGAUAAUAUUUGUCUCUCACCGUUCACCUAGAGAGGAUGCCAAAGUCGCCUUGUAGCAUCCUUGUCAGAUUUGUGGUUCGUUUGCCGUUUGGGUGUUGGGUGAAGACAUCUUUUUGAUACUAUUCAUUUGGGUUACCCAUAAAGAGUAACUUUUGGAGUAACUUUUGGAGACUUAGGGCUCUGUUUAUUUGGAUUACCCAUAAAAGAGUAACAUUUGGAGACUUAGGGCUCUGUUCAUUUGGGUUACUCAUAAAGGGUAACAUUUGGAGACUUAGGGCUCUGUUCAUUUGGGUUACUCAUAAAGGGUAACAUUUGGAGACUUAGGGCUCUGUUCAUUUGGGUUACUCAUAAAGAAUAACAUUUGGAGACGUAGCGCUCUGUUCAUUUGGGUUACUCAUAAAGAGUAACAUUUGGAUCUGUUCAUUUGGGUUACUCAUAAAGAGUAACAUUUGGAGACUUAGGGCUCUGUUCAUUUGGGUUAUUCACAAAGGGUAACAUUUAGAGACUUAGGGCUCUGUUCAUUUGGGUUACUCACGUAGGGCUCUAUUCAUUUGGGUUACUCAUAAAGGGUAACAUUUGGAGACUUCAGGCUCUAUUCAUUUGGGUUACUCAUAAAGGGUAACAUUUGGAGACUUAGGUCUAUAUUCAUUUGGGUUAUCCAUAAAGGGUAACACUUGGAGAUUUAGGCCUCUGUUCAUCAGGUAUUGUUCACGGGAAUUAUUCAUCGGGUACUGUUCACGAGUACUGUUCAUCGGGGGUACUGUUCACGCAUACUGUUCUUCGGGUACUGUUCACGAGUACUGUUCAUAGGGUACUGUUCACGAAUUCGAAAUUCUAUUCACUGUAAGGCGUUUUACCAAGCUGAGAAAAUAUGGUCUCCCGUUCUAGUGCUGAAUCUAAAUGUCGAGUCAUGGCAAAAACCAUUUGUGAAGUUUUGUGGGUACGUCAAUUAUUGGAAGAAGUUGGGUUUACAAAUUCAGUGUCUGUUAAGUUGUAUGGGACGAGUUGAUUAUAUAUGUAACAAGUUGGGCAUGAUUAACAUUUAUGCUCCAACUUGAGGGGGAGUGUUAUAGAUUAUAGGAAGUAAAUAUAUUAAUAUAGGAAGUAAAUAUUGAUAGAUGGGUUAGUUGCUUAAUUUUAGGGAUUGUAUAAUUAUAGACUUGAUUUUCUUUCCUGUUUAGAUACCGUCUUUUAUAUAUAAAUAGGUUGUAAUCUUUAUUAUGAAAUACAACAUCAAAUAUUAUAUUUCUACAAGGAGUGGGUCUAUAAUUUUCUUGCAAGAUUGAAUAACGAAUAUGAUCCAAUUCGGGUCCUAGUGUUGGGGAAAAGUCAUUUUCCUUCUCUAAAAGAGGCCUACGCCUAUGUUCAACAAGAGAAAAGUCGUCGACAUGCUAUGCUCUAUACUUGUACCAGUUGAAAGGCUGGCAGCCUCCUAAUUUUGAGAAAGAUCACCUGCAUUAUGACUAUUAUGGGAAAUCGAGGCAUAAGACUUGGUAGAAGUUACAUGGACGUCCCACUAGAACCCGUGGGGGGAAAUGAGCUACCUCCAAAAUUCAAGCUUGUUGACUUAUUUGCUAAUCCUAAUUGAUUCUAGGGAUUUGAUUUGAUUAGGAUCCUUAAUUAUCUCUGUAAUUAUUAUUUGAUUAUUUGCUUCCUGUUUAGAUAUGAUUCUUUGUGUAUAAAUAGCCAUGUAGACAUAUUGUACAAAUCAAGAGUGAAAUACAAGAAUACUCAAUAUUCUUCCAAAAAUCUUCAAAGCUAAUUUCACAAAAACUGUAGAGGAGCCCUUUAAGGAGACAACAGCAGCCGAGUUGCUUUCCCCUAAUGAAAUUUAGAGUCUCAAACGCCUUCUGUCUCAUAUUGACACAUCUUCCUCCUCUAGUGCCAUGUCUAACUUUGUAAAGUCAGAUAAUGCUUCCUCUUUUGAUACUGUUCCAUGGAUUAUUGAUUUUGGUGUGAAUAGACAUAUGACAGACUCUUCUAAAAGCUUUCUUAAUUAUUUUCCUUCUCUAACCAAAGAUAGUGUCAGAAUUGCUGAUGGCUCUUUUACUUCCAUAUGCAGAAUAGGUUCUGUUACUUGUGCACCUAAUAUUAAAUUAUCAUAUGUCCUUCAUAAUCUCCGUUUUCCUAUCAACUUUUUAUUUGUCAGUGCUAUCACCAAUACUCUUAAUUGUAAAAUUGAAUUCUUAACUGUAAAAUUGAAUUCUUAACUGUAAAAUUGAAUUCUUUCCUGAUCAUUGUGUUAUUCAGGAUCUUUCCACUGGGAAGAGGAUUGACAAUGGUAGAUUGUAUGAUGACUGAAGGUGAUCCAGGGUCUCCGAUAUCUCAAGCCUGUUUUUGGAGAAAAUAAAUAGAUCAAUCAAGAAAUAAUAUAGUGGCAUAGACGGUUAGGGCAUCCAUCAUUUUGUCUUAGAAAAACUUUAUCCUAGUUUGUUUGCUACAACUCAGUUUGGUUGUUUAUUUUGUAAUGCUUGUGAGUAUGCUAAGCACACUAGAACCUCUUAUCCUUUGAAUCAUAAUAAAAGCCAAAUUCCUUUUGUGACUAUUCAUUUUAAUGUUUGGGGGCUUACUCAAACUGUCUCCUUAUCUGAUAAUCUAUGGUUUGUCACCUUUAUUGAUUGUUGCACUCAAAUGACUUGGAUCUAUUUGCUGAUGAGAAGAUUUAGAGGAAGAAAGUGUUCAUGGAGAUCCCUAAUGGGUUCGUUAAUGAGAAGAUAUAAGGAAAGGUGUGCAGAUUAAAAAAGGCUUUGUAUGUGUUAAAACAAUUUCCUAGAGCUUGGUUUGACAGGUUUUGCAGAGCCAUGAUGUCCUUUGGUUACCAACAGAGUAAUGCUGAUCACACUAUAUUUAUUAAACAUCACAAGGGUAAGAUCACCCUUCUUAUUGUGUAUGUUGAUGAUAUAAUAGUGACAGGUGGUGACAAAGAGGAAAUGACUCAACUAAAAAGGUUGUUGGCCCAAGAAUUUGAAAUCAAAAAUCUAGAAAAGCUGCAAUAUUUCCUAGGCAUUGAGGUGGCUAGAUCCAAAAAAGAAUCUUCAUCUCCCCAAAAGAGUAUGUUUUGGAUCUUUUAGAAAAAACUAGUACGUUAGGGUGUAAACCAGCAGAAUCUCCCUUUGAAAGUAAUCACAGUAUGCAAGCAAGAACCGGUGAGUCCAUGGAUAUUGGAAUAUACCAGAGAUUGGUAAAGAGGUUAAUUUAUCUCUCACACAUUCAACCAGAUAUAGCCUAUGCUAUUAGCUUAGUUAGCCAAUUCAUGCAUGACCCUCGCAAGACUCAUAUACAAUUGUACUUCGCAUCUUGAGAUACCUAAAGUCUGCGCCAGAGAAAGGGCUUCUUUAUUCCAGACAUGGUCACCUCCGAGUUAAAGCUUUUACAUAUACAAAUUGGGCAAAAUCUCUCGAUGAUAGGAGAUUCACUUCUGCCUACUGCACAGUUGUGGGAGGGAACCUUGUCACUUAGAGGAGCAAAAAACAAAGUGUUGUUGCUCAAUUAAGUGCUGAAGCAAAAUACAAAGCAAUGGCCCAAGGUAUGUGUGAACUUUUAUGGUUUCAGAAGUUAUUGGAGGAGCUGAGAUUGCCCGAGAGACAAUAUAUCUUUGUAUUGUGACAACAAAGCUGCCAUCAGUAUAGCACAAAAUCCAGUCCAACAUGACUGAACGAAACUCAUUGAGAUUGAUCAGCACUUCAUUAAAGAAAAAAUAACAAACGGUGUCUUGAGCUUAGUUCAUGUGACUUCUACUAGGCAAUUUGCAGAUGUGUUUACUAAAGGGUUCAACAAUAAGAUUUACCAUAAUCUGAUUUGCAAGUUGGGCAUGGGCGACAUCUACGCACCAACUUGAGGAGGAGUGUUGACUUAUUUGCUGAUUCUAAAGAGAUGAUUUGAUUUGAUUAUGAUUCUUAAUUAUCUAUGUAAUUAUUGCUUGAUUAUUUGCUUUCUAUUUAGUCAUAAUUCUUUGUAUAUAAAUAGUCAUGUAAAUCACUUGUAAAUAUCAAGAGUGAAAUACAAGAAUACUAUAAAAUUUUCCAAAAUUCUUCACAUACAAAAAUUUUUCAAACAACAGACUUUCCCAUACUCUCCCUGUGCAACAAACCUAGUGGUUGCUCCAUAUACACCUUGUCUUAGAGAUCACAAUAUAAAGAUGAAUUCUUGAUAUCUAAUUGGUGUAAAGGCCAAUGGUGAGAGGCAGCUAGGGAGAUGAACAAGCGAAUCAAGGUCAUUUUGGCCAUAUGAGAAAAAGUGCCAGAGUAGUCAACGCCAUAGGUUUGGGCGUAGCCGUUAGCGACAAGACGACCUUUAAGCCUCGCUACAGAAUCAUCUGCAUUAACUUUGAUAGCAAAAACCCAUUUACAACCCACAGUCUUCUAGUCAGGGGUAAAUUAACUAGUUUCUAAGUAUGAUUUUCAUCUAGAGUCUUGACUUCCUCAAGUAUAACGUCACGUCAUCUAGAAUGGCUAGAACCUCCUUGACUGUCUUAGGUAAGGAAAUGGAAUCUACAGAGGCAAUUAAAGAGAUAGAGGAAGGAGACAAGUGAUCAUAAGAAAGAAAGUUAGUAACAAAAUAAGUAGACUUCCAUUGUUGUUUACCUUAUGAAGACUAAUGGGAAGGUCAAGGUCACUCGGUAGUGGAUCUGAUUGCGAAGUAGAUCAGGUAUUAGUCUUCGAAAGUAAACUUGAACAACUGCCGGUUUAUUAGAAGGCUGAGUACUAGAAGAAGGAAUGACACCAUCAGAUUGUGCAGUAGAAGGCACAUUAGAGGAGUUCCUACUAUUAGAUGUGAUUCUAUAGAUGAGUCACUCGUUGUCCUCCAACUCACUAGUAGAGGUUUGUGCAGCAGCAAAAAAAAAAAAGAAUUUGCUCAGCAAAGACUACAUCUGUUAAGACCAUAUAUUUGUUGAGCUCUGGAGAGUAACACCGAUAUCCUUUCUGAAGUCGAGAAUAUUCCAAAAAAACACACUUCAAAGUUUUAGAAUCAAGCUUAGUCACAUGAGGUCUGACAUCCCGAAUAUAACAAGUGUUGCCAGAAAGUCGUGGUUCCAGAGAAAAUAUUGGCUUCUUAGGAAAGAGAACAUUAUAGGGAGUCACCAUUUAGUAUUAGGGAGGGUAUGUGAUUAAUGAGGAAGCAUGCAGUAGAGACAACAUCAGCCUAGAAUGGCUUAGGAACUUGCAUUUGAAACAGCAGAGCUCGAGUAGUCUCAAGGAAAUGUCGAUUCUUCCUUUCAACUACUCCAUUUUGAGCGGGUGUAUCAACACAUGACAAUUGGUGAAAAAUACCAUUUUGAGUCAUGUAAACCUGGAAAGAUUCUGACAUAUAUUUACGACACAAAAAAUCAACCUAAUUAGAAAUAUUUACAACACACCAUAUUAGGAAUAUAUACAAUAAAGGUUGAAAAUAAAAUUCUUAUAAUCAACAUAAUUAGAAUUCCAAAAAUCUGCCCAAAUAGUAAUUGAAUCCCCCUAUUCAGGGAUCCUUACGUUGGUCAAUAGCGGUAUCAUAACCUUAAUGUAUAAUUUUGUGAAGACAUAAAAUUGUGUAAUAACAAUAGAAAGAAUUGAUAAACAACAAGAAGAUAAUUAACCAGAACAAACCUAGCAAACGCAUCCAACUGUGCAUGCAAUAAUUUGUUAGAGAUGGUCGAUGACAUUCCCAGAUCUUUUGAUCUAUUGUAAAAUGUGAACUCUGGGCCAAUAGCCUGCUCAAGAAAACAAAUUACUUGCAAAGUUAUGUAAAAUACAAAGAUACAAUAACAAUAUUAAUAUAGACAAUCACCAAAAAGAUCUUGUACUUCUAAGGUUUUUUGCAAUUAUACCUAUACUAUNNNNNNNNNNNNNNNNNNNNNNNNNNNNNNNNNNNNNNNNNNNNNNGUUGCUCUAAAUAUACCCUACUAUUACUUUUGCCGUUGUUAGACAGGUUCAAGAAAAGUUGAUCAAUAAUAACUUUAGUCAAAAUAAGAUAAAGGCAAAUUCUUAUUCAGAAAUUAUUGAUAAUUUUUUUUCUAAAAAAAUAACAAUAAUAAAAAAAGUAAUUUUUAAAUACAUUUAAUAGUGAAAAAGGGUGACUUGACAAUUUCGCUAGUAACGGUGCAUUUGGUCAAACAUUAGAAAGGACAUAGUUUAAUUGGCAAAAAAUGAAAGUAUAGGGUGGACUUACGACAAAAAUAAAAGAUAGCUUUUUUGGCAAUUAACUAUAAACUUUGCUGACAUGGCAUAAUGACAUGGCCUUUACGUGUUGAGUGACGUGGCAAUUCUGUCGACUAUUGAAGAAUUUUGGGAAGAAUUUUUUAAUUGUAUUCCAAUUGAAUAAUCUAUACAAAAUUUGAGUAUUUAUACACACAGAAUCAACCUAAAUUAGAAAUGUUUACAAUAAAAAUAAAAUCCCUUAAUUCAAGCAAUCCCAAAAAUUUGAAUCCUCCUAAUUAGGAACCUUCUAUGUUAGUCAACACUCUUCUUUAAGUUGGUGUAUAGAUAUCACACAUGAUCAACUUGCAAACCAAAGUAUGAGAGGUCUUGUUGCUGAGCCCUUUGUUAAGCAUAUAAGCUAACUGUUCAUCGGAAGUCACAUGAUCUAACCUCAAUACACCAUUUAUUAACUUCUCUUUAACAAAGUGUCGAUCAAUCUCUAUGUACUUCGUUCGGUCAUGUUAAACCGAAUUGUGAGCUAUACUGAUGGCAGCUUUGUUGUCACAGUACAAGAAGAAUUUGUCCCUCUCCAAUAGUUUCAAUUUCUCAAUCAAUCUCUGCAACCAUAGGAGUUCACAAACACCUUGUGUCAUCGCUCUAUAUUCCAUCUUAGCACUUGAUCGAACAACAACACUUUAUUUUUUGCUUCUCUAAGUGACGAGGUUUUCUCCCACAAGUGUACAGUAACCACUAAUCGACCUUCUAUCACCAAGGGAUAUGCAAAGAUGACCGUAUUUAGAGAAUAGGAGACCUUUUCCAGGAGCCGACUUCAAAUAUGAGACUCACGAGGACAACUGACUAAGCUGAAUGCAUAUGCUAUGUCUGAUCGAGUAUGCGAAAGAUAAAUCAGUCUGCCUACCAACCUCUAAUAUCUUCCAAUAUCCACUUAUUCACCAAUCCCUGAUUAUAGCUUGUGAUUGCUUUCAAUGGGAGUUUCUGCCGGUUUGCAACCUAAAAUAUCAGUUUUUUCUAAAAGAUCCAAAAUGUAUUUUCUUUAAGAAAUCAAGAUUCCCUUCUUUAACCUGGUAAUCUCAAUUCCCAGAAAAUAUUGCAGUUUUCUUAGAUCUUUAAUUUUGAACUCCUAAGCCAAAAGUUUUUUCAGCCAAGUCAUCCCUUUAGUGUCAUCCUCUGUCAUUACUAUCAUCAACAUAGACUAUAAAAAGAGUAAUUUCACCCUUGUGAUAUCUGAUAAAUAGGGUAUGGUCAGCAUUGCUCUAUUAAUAGCCAAUGGAAAUCAUAACUCUGCUGAAUCAAUCAAACCAAGCUCUGGAUGACUGCUUCAACCCAUACAAAGCCUUCUUUAGCCUCCACACCUUUACUUGUGUUUUUUCAUCAACAAAUCCAAGAGGGAUUUCUAUAUACACUUCCUCCUCUAAGCCCUUCAUGGAGGAAUGCAUUUUUCACAUCAAAUUGAUGUAGAUCCCAGUCAAGGUUGACACCGCAAGAUAGCAAUACUCUGAUUGAGUUCAUUUUGGCAAGAGCAACAAAUGUUUUUGGGUAAUCCACUCCAUAGGUUUGAGUGUAUCCUUUGGCCACUAGUCUAGCCUUGAAUCUUUCAAUUGAUUCAUCUGCUUUGUGUUUCACAGUGAACACCCAUUUGCAGCCAACAAGUUUCUUCUCAGGUGGGAGAAUGACAAGCUCCCAGGUCUCAUUUUUGGCCAGUGCUUUCAUCUCUUCAAUCAUUGCUCCCUUCCAUUUAUCGGAUAGUGAGACCAAAUGGAUGGUUACAAAAAAGAUCGUACUCCUAUUGUUACUGGUGGGAUAAGAGGUUCUUGUAUGCUUCGCAUAGUCACAAGCAUCAUAAACUAAAUAACCACAUUGAGUCUUGAAAAAUAAAUCAGGAUAAAGUUUCUCUAAAAUAAAAAAGGAUGAGUGUCCUAAUCAUCAAUGCCACUGUAUGAUUUACUUGUUGACAUCUUGAUUUCUUCCAGAAAGUGCCCAAAGUGAAUUCAAACUCAGAUUCUCUUCCAACAUAUAUAAGCUAUCGUAUAAUCUACCAUUGUCAAUCCUCUUUCCAGUUUGAAGAUCUUGAAUAACACAAUAGUCAGAAAAAAAUUCAAUUUUACAGUUAAGUGCUUUGGUGUGAGCACUAACAGAUAAAAGAUUAACAUGGAAAUAAGGAACAUGAAGAACAAAGGAUAGCUUAAUAUUUAGAGUACAAACAAUAGAACCGGUUCCAGAGAUAAGAAUGAAGGAACCAUCGACUAUUCUAACAUUAUCCUUUUGUAGACAUAGAAGAUAGUUAAGGAGGACUUUAGAAGAGCCCGUCAUGUGUCUAUCUGUACCAGAAUCAAUAAUCAAUUGAGCAAAAUCAAUAGAUGAAACAAAAGCAUUAUCAGAGGCCCUUACAUUUUCCACAUUAGUCAAUUUCUUGUCUGCUAUUUCAAGGAGAAGGAAAAACCUAUCCUUUUUUUUUUUCCUUUUUUUUAAACAAGUAUUAUUCAUCAGAGAAGGACCUUUGUGCCAGCGGGUACAUGCCGAAAAAACCAACGACAGUAGCCAGACCAGUGACCUCUAUCGGAUAACGCACCACGUGCCGGCAGAAGGAUGCGCGUGGGACUAACGCAUUGAGAAUGAUGACGCGCAUGUGUGCCUACGUGCUGGAUUUUGGCCACCAGAACUUUUGGAAUGGCCAAUGACGUCACUGCGACUCUUCUAACGCUAGCGGUGAGAGGAAAAGGUGGGCCUAGAUGGGAAAACCCCAAAGAGCAAUAGGUGGCUAGGGUUUGAAGAAAUUUCAGAUGUUGAAAUCUGAAAUUAAACCCAAAAAACAGCCACAAAGGUCUGAUACCAUGAAGAAUUUUGGAAAGAAUUUCUUCUAUUCUAAUUGAAUUGAUCUUUAUAAGGUUUGAAUAUUUAUACAAUAAAAAUAAAAUCCCUUAAAUCAAGUCUAAUUAGGAUUUCAAAAAUUUGAAUCCUCCUAAUUAGAAACCUUCUAUGUUGGUCAAUAACUAUACAAGUAACGGUACGGUGCAUUUGGUCAGACACUAAAAAGAACAUAGUUUAAUUGGUAAAAAAUGAAAGUAUAGAGUGGACUUACAACAAAAAUAAAAGAUAGCUUUUUUUGGCAAUUAACAAUAAACUUUGCUGACAUGGCAUGAUAACUAGGCGUUUACGUGUUGAGUGACAUGACAAUUCUGUUAGUUUCCAACUGUACAAGUAAUGGUAGGAUCUAUUUGAAGCAACUUUAAAAUGUAAAGAUUUAAUUGGCAAAAAAAAAAAUAGUAUACAGCAUAAUCACAACAAACAUGAAGUAUAGGUUUUUUUGGUGAUCGUCUCAUAUUAAUACUAUAUUCAUAGAUAAAAAUUUUAUUGAUGAGAUGUUCAAAAUUGUUUAGUUUCAUUGAAUAUUCUAACACUUGGAUUCCAUAGUCUAAUUAGGAUUCAAAAAUUUGAAUCCUCCUAAUUAGGAACCUUCUAUGUUGGUCAAUAAUUAUACAAGUAACUGUACGGUGCAUUUGGUCAAACACUAAAAAGGACAUAGUUUAAUUGGUAAAAAAUGAAAGUAUAGAGUGGACUUACAACAAAAAUAAAAGAUAGCUUUUUUUGGCAAUUAACUAAACAUUGUUGACAUGGCAUGAUGACACGAUGUUCAAUGCACGAGCCCGUUUAAUUGGUAAAAGAUCACUCAGUAUUUUAUAGAAAUUCUGAUAGUGGAGUAAUUCUGCUUGUAGUAUAUGUGGAUGAUAUCGUUAUUACAGGAAGUGACAUUGCUGGCAUCACAUCCCUAAAAGAAUUUCUUAAAACACAGUUUCAUACAAAGGAUUUGGGUUCUUUAAAAUAUUUCUUGGGAAUCGAAGUCAUGCGGUGUAAGAAAGGCAUCUUCUUAUCACAAAGAAAAUAUGUUCUUGAUUUGUUGGCAGAAACAGGAAAAUUAGGUGCUAAGCCUUGUAAUGCCCUAAUGACCCCUAACCUUCAACUUACCACAGAAGACAGUGAGCCAUUUGCAGAUCCUGGAAGGUAUAGAAGAUUAGUUGGCAAGUUGAAUUAUUUGACGGUGACUCGUCCUGAUAUUGCAUAUUCAGUGAGUGUGGUAAGUCUAUUUAUGUCUUCUCCUACUGUUGCCCAAUGGGAUGCUCUGGGACAGAUUCUUUGUUACCUUAAAGGGGUCCCAGGGCGAGGCCUAUUCUAUGGUAACCAUGGACACUCAAAUAUUGAAUGCUUUUCUGAUGCUGAUUGGGCAAACUCGAAAGUUAAUAGGAGGUCAAUUACUGAGUAUUGUGUUUUUGUGGGAGGUAACUUGGUCUCAUGGAAAAGUAAGAAGCAAAAUGUAGUCUCCCGUUCUAGUGCUGAAUCUGAAUAUCGAGCCAUGGCACAAGCCGUUUGUGAAAUUUUGUGGGUACAUCAACUGUUGGAAGAAGUUGGGUUCACAAAUUCGGUGUAUGCUAAGUUGUGGUGUGAUAAUCAAGCAGCUAUCUACAUUGUCUCCAAUCCAAUAUUUCACGAGAGGACUAAACACAUCAAGAUUGAUUGUCAUUUUGUUCGUGAAAAGGUCCAACAAAAGAUAAUAUCAACAGGACAUAUCCGAACUGGAGAACAAUUAGGAGACAUUUUCACUAAAACUCUAAAUGGGACUCGAGUUGAUUAUAUAUGUAACAAGUUGGGCAUGAUUAACAUUUAUGAUCCAACUUGAGGGGGAGUGUUAUAAGUUAUAGAAAGUAAAUAUGUUAAUAUAGGAAGUAAAUAUUGAUAGAUGGGUCAGUUGCUUAAUCUUAGGGAUUGUAUAAUCAUAGGCUUAAUUUUCAUUCCUGUUUAGAUACCGUCUCUCAUGUAUAAAUAGGUUGUAAUCUCUACUGUGAAAUACAACAAAAAUAUUAUCCUUCUACAAAGCUCUUACUUUUAAAAGUCCUUUAGAGAUGCUACAAGGAAAAAAUGUUUAUACUGUUUCAUCAAAGAUAUUUGAAUGCACGCGUUUUAUUCAUACCAGGACAAGUAGAAGGCUCAAUCCAAAUGCUCUUAAAUGUGUGUUUGUUGGGUACUCUCCUACACAGAAGGGUUACAGCUUACAAGUGUUAUCAUCUUCCAUUUAGAAAAUACUUUGUCAGUACAAAUGUUAGAUUUAGAGAGACUGAAUCUUACUUUAGUAUUACCCAUCACCUCUUUAGAGAGGACAACGAGAGAGAACAGAUGAUUCCUUAUCCUAUAACUUUAGAGCGUUUUACUCUAAGGAGACUACUAUACAGGGAAAACUAUUGGUGAUCAGAAAAAAGUAAUUAGGCGUUUGGAUAAAUAAGAUUAAGGAGAUACUCGAGAAGAGACAACAGAAGCAGAAAAAAGUCAUUGUGCAGCCUACUCAGUGUUGUGAAUUUUUCUCUUCUCCAUCUGGUGAGUCAUCCCUAAACCUUUAGCCCAUUGAUGAUCUAAAUAAAUCAAUUGCUCAAAGAAAAGGCUUUAGGUCUUGCACAAAAUACUCUAUUUCUAACUUUCUCUCUUAUGAUGCUUCGCCUCUGUCCUAUAGAGUCUUUACCUUAUCUAUUUCCUCUUUGUCUAUCCCACAAGAUUGGAAAGAAGCUUUCAAAGAUUCUAAUUGAAAGCGAACAAUAAUUGAAGAAAUGAAACUGUUGCCUAAAAAUGCUAACACUUCAUAAAGGAGAAGAUGGUGGAUGUUCAUUAACAAUUUCUCAUAGGGCUUCAAAGGAAAGUUUUGCCAAAAUAAUUACUAAGGAUCUAUCCAGUAAAAUAUUUCACACUUCAAUUUACAAGUUGGGCAAGUUGGGCAAGUGUAAUAUCCAUAGACCAUCUUGAGGAGAGUGUAGAAAUUCCAUAUUUAGGAAUUAAUUUAGUUUUUGUAUAUAGCUAAUUCCAUGUAAUACAUUGUUACCUUUUUUGUUUAGCUUUCUAUUCUAGGACUAGUUAAUGUAUAUAUAUAAAAGCCCCGUACAGUUUUUUUUUCUUUUUUUUGUUGAGCAUUACUAGAAAAUUAUCUUCAAAAUCUAUAGUUAAGACAAACAAUUUAUAUUCAAAUAUCCAGAAAUUUAUAGAGUUUACAUUAGGACUCAAACUGUGUGCCUGCCACUAUCAUGAAUUGUUUUAGACAUUAGGCAAAGUUUUAAAUAGAAAUUACCAUAGUUGAAAGCAAUUCAACAUAAGUUUCUAAAUUACUUUUUUUUUUAAAUAAACAAGACAAUAAAAAUAUAACCUGAAACUCAAGGACAAUUUCUGUGGAUCUGUCAACUGCCGCAUUUUGAGUUUGUAAACCAUUAAUGCUCCCACUUGAGGAGUCCAUAUUAGAUGCUUCAUCCUCUUCCUCCAAAUGGACCUGAUCAUCCCUUGAAGCAACAUAACUGCUAUUGCUUCCCAGAAAAAUACAAGAAUCUAAAUAUUUCCCAUUCUACAUCACCAAAAUUCAUAACUGGUCAGUAUUUGGCAUGAGAAAAUAAUUAUUCUAAACUCUUACUAAAUGAGAAUAUGGAACAGUUAAUCACACCUUUAUGACGACAUUUUUGAAUUGUAGUUUUUUUCCACUUCCUACAUAUAUAAUAGCUUCCUUGCUAGGCGCAGAAAGAUUAUGUCCCUGUUUAUCUUUUAAGUGCAAAAUUCCACCUUGACCAUCAAAAACGAAAUGGUCAUAUCUUUCCUCGUCAACAAUUAAUGGUGUCAAAGGAGAGAGUGAAACUUCAGCUAGGGAUUGCCUAUAAAUUGACUUGUCCAAAAUAACUGCAUCAACUUCAUGUAAAGGAUUCUUAUUUUCCUCAUUUGACAGCAUACCACCAACUGCUGGAACAAAAAACUCAACAACUGCCAGAAGAAAAUCAAGUGCAACAAGCAAUUGUGGCCUUUGAACACAGAGAGACACGAUAGUUGAGCGUUGACCAAAUUUUGCAUCAAGUAUAAGCAUUGUAGGAGUUGGUUUCAUCUCAGUCUCCGUUUUGAAAUUUGCAUUAGCCACAUUCUGGUUUUCAUGCUCUGCAAUUGCACAAAGGGGACCAUAAUCAAUCUUCUCAGGCUUUCCUAUUGCCAACCUAAAUUCUUCUUCAAUUCCCUCCCUAUCAUCAAUCACAAUGAAAUCCUUAAGUGUUGCCGAGAGAAAACCUUCCCCAAGGUUAUUAGAUUUAUAAAGAAGCCAUCCGCCAGCAACCUGCAUGACAACAAAUUAAAAAAUUAAACCAAAGAAUGCUGCAAAGAACAAUUGAAACUAUGACAAACUUGAUCAUGUGGCAAUAGAUCCUGAAACCAACAAGCUAAGAAUAAAAAGAAAUGAAAUUUAAAAUAUUGGAACACUUGCUUCAAAUAGAUAGCAUCCAAUGGAAACAAUAUUGACCCAGGAUCCAACCUGGAAGUUCUCUUUUCCCUCCCUCAACGUUUCUAACCUCCAAGAAUAGUUAAGCAAAUGAGGCAUACGCACAAGUGUGGUAAUCAUUUUGAUACUUGAUGGAGAGUUCAAUGUGACAGGACUAUACAUACAGAGAAAUAUGAAGAAGUGAAUAGCAAUGAGAUUUAUGAAGGGUAAACAAUGAUAAUUGAACCAUGGCUAAUAUGUGAAUGUCGAUAGCAGGAAAAAAGUACAAAUAAAUUCAACAUUGAUUUUUGGUCCAUAAAAAGGCCUAGAUGCCUUUGGAAUGCUCAAUCCCGAGGUCACUUCCUCUAUCGUAUAACCUCCCACCUCCAAUGCAAGCAAUGCAAAAUAAAGAAACCCUCUGACUUCAUCUUGAUGGACAAAUUAAACCCUUUUCUUAUCAAGGACAAGUUAAUUCUGCUAAUUCAUGUUAGACUAGCAUGCUUUUCUUAUAUAAGAGAACAUUAUUUCUACCAAGCAUCAACUAUCCACAAAAGAUAUUUUAUGUGCUUAUAAAACCAGUAUCAACCCAUCUACUACUGAUGAAAAAUGAUGACAAAAAUAAAGUCAUAAUGAUACCUGGUUUAAAAUCUUCAUAGAUCUUUAUACUUGUUAUGAAAUGCCAUAGCAAAAAGACAGAUUUGUUACAUCCUAAUUUCACAUUUUCUGAGAAGCUUUAAAGUUUCCUAUAUCCUAUUUUGUUUUAUGAUGUGUUUACAUUAGAUUUUUCAAUUUGCAUUUUAGGUUUUAGAUGGUAUAAUACGCAUCUUAUGUACUAAAUUUUUUAAUCAUUUGCAAUUAAUAGAACACAUAUGAUUAUCAAAAAACAAAAUGUAGAUUAUCAUUUGAUAAAAAUAUAAUUUAUAAUUAUUAAUUAUAAUAAUUGUACAACUCGUUAAAUUUGGGCCAGGCCUAACUCACCCCAAAAGCUAGCUCAAGGGGAGGAGUGCCUAUAGCCCAUAUAAGGGGCACAUUACCCUUUUUCACAACCGAUGUGGGAUUCAACACAACCCCUCACGCUCAGAAUUUUUACUGGUGCGUGGCACAUUUAUGGGGCGCCCAACAUCGGAUGGAGAGACUCUGAUACCAUGUUAAAUUUGGGCCAGGCCUAAAUCACCCAAAACCUAGCUCAUAUAAGGAGCACAUUACCCCUUUCCACAACCGAUGUGGGAUUCAACAUUAUCCCAAAAGAUAGUUCAAGGGGUAGGAGUGCCUAUAGCCCAUAUAAGGGGCACAUUACCCCUUUCCACAACCGAUGUGGGAUUCAACACAACUAUUAAAAUUUAGGCCCCCUUUGCAUUUUAUCUUGUGUUCGCCUAUUGAUAAUCCUAAUAAAAUUCAUAAAAAAAAUGAGAGCGAAAACAAGAUGUCUAAAGUCUAAACCAUUAAUAGUGGCAUCAAUUUUCACUGUCAAAACAUAGGAAUUACUUUCUUAUACAUAAAAAGGACAUCAAAUCACGGGUAGUGAAUAGUGAAAGCCAACACCAAUAUCAACUAGGAGUUGAGGGCUCUAUGUCGUAUUAGGCUUAACAAAUCCUACUCCCAUAAGGAAAGUUCACCAGAGGAAAAGAAAGCUUGCAAAAGAGCCCCAAGGUAUGAAGCAAACAAUACCAUGAGGAUGGACCAAGACCAAGUGAAUAAUUAACUGUGAAAGUGUUUCAAAUUUCAAAUUGCAGAAAAGAAAUUUGAAUAUUAAAAUAAUAAGGCAUCCAAAAGGUUAAAGAGAACAUAAGAAUAAAAUAAAACUAAAAAUGACAAUAUAUUGCAUUUUUCAUUCUCAAGGUUAGUAUGGAGAACAAAAUAAAAUUUUAUUUACUAGGAACAAGAAUCUGAAAAAUAAAACUCUCUUAAAUGUGAAACAACAAAAGCAAUUGACAUUUGCAUGACAAAAUUGAACCAAUGGUAUUUUGCCCCCGAAUAAUAAUAAUGACAAUGGCGGACCAAUGUUAACUGACAUGUGUGUGUGUGUGGGUGUGUGUGUGUGAGGGGAGAGAGAGAAAGAGAGAGAGGGGCAAAAACUCAUCUUGAUAUUUAAGAAAAGUGAUAUAGAUUUUAGACAUAUAUCACACGAAAGAAAAUAGAUACAAAUUAAGUAGAGACUAGAGAGAGAGAUUCAAAAAGGUGGUGCAACAAAAACUUAAACAUGUCAUUCAUGAUUUCAAGCAAAGAAUAACUAGUGAAGAACAAUUUAUAUUAAAAACUUGAAAAUGAAUAACUGAAGCAUUACCUGUAUAGUGGCCAGAGAUGCAUCUCUGGCUACCCCCACAUGUAAACUCAACUCAACAAGAUUGAUAAGAACAGAAACUUUCAUGGAAAUCCAUACUUUCCCGUUCUGGGCCUCCAAUUCACCAAUAUUGUCCUGAGAAACAACAGGUUCUACAGCAUCAGCAGAAAAUGCCCCAGAAUCAAGCUCAAGAGGAGGCAGAAGAUGAGGAGUCUCAGACAUAUUAGACAGCGCACAUUCAGUAAUAAUCUGGUACUCCCUAUUAGAUAGAACCGCUUUUAAAUCUUCUAUCUGAUGAAGUACAAUGUUAGAUACAAGUAAGCACUUUUGUCUUUCCAUAAAUUGCAAAUAAUUGUGAAAAAACAGAAAAUAGUCCGAAGGGAUAAAGAAAGUAUGAAAGGAGACAUGGCAUGAAAUUUGAAAUACAACACCUUGAUUGUUGCUUCUACAAUUGGUAUUUGAUGCAACAAGUCUCUAAGUGACCUUCGAAUGCCAAUGGAAACCCCCUUGACAUCUUGAAUUAUGCUUUCACCUAAUUCUGUCCCAAUACCGACAUUUAAAUUGAUGUCCUCAACCUAUAACUCAAAGAAGGAAAAAACAAAAUAAACAACAACAACAACAACUAAGCCUUAAUUCCAAAUUAAUUGGGUCUAUAAGUCUAUAGGAUAAAAUGCCAAACAGUGAUGGUGAGCGUUAAGUGUAUGAAAUCAGAACAAACAAUAAAUCUCUUCCUUGGAUCCACCAAUAAACAAGGCUGGAUAGCAAAUUUCAAUUUUACUAUGAUGAAAUAAAUAAAUUUGAGAGCAUAUUUGUGUAAUUCUCACUGAUAAGAUUUUUGUUACAUGUCUGCUAUUUAUAUACUAUUAUAGAAAGUCAACCUUGUAGACACUUUUACCUAUUUUAGAGAUCAUAUUCCUGUUGGAAAACUCACUCGGUCCUUAAACUAUUGUCUUUUGUUAGAAAACUCACGCGGUCCAUAUGCUAUUCUGUCUUGUCUUUUUUUUUCUCUAGCUAUUGUUUGUUUCAGAUCUUCCAACAAAGCAGUUUAUCAAUAGAGAAUGAGAGUCUGGUGACCUCUACAUCGUUGUUAGACAAGCACCUCAAUAUCUUACUUGCUGCUUUGCUUUAACUCCUCUUGACAUCCACUACAGAUUGGGUCAUCCCGCCUUGCCUACUUUGAAUAAAUUGUAUCCUCAGUAUUAAUCUCUGUCUAUCCUAAAAUAUGUUGUGUAUCAAUUUGCCAAGCAUCACCGUUUACCUUCUUUGCUUAGAGUUAAUAAGCGAGCUUUAUCCCCCUUUUGAGUUAGUUCACUCUGAUAUAUGGGUGAUAGAGCAUAAUUUAAUCCAUUUUAUAUUAAUAUUAUUGAUGAAUAUUUAUAUGAUUUCUGCUUAAUUUAGUGCUUUUAAUAUUAUUUUGCAGAAAAUAGUGUAAAAUGACAAUUUGGAGAAAAUCCCCUUAAAACUGCCUUAUUUGGAGCCAAGAAAUAAUUGGGCAGCUAAGGACACUUGAUCCAUGGACCCACACUUGGGCCCGCACAUGGACAGCCCAUGGGCCAAGCGCAUGGCCACCACUUCACUAUUUCCGCACGACCUUGCACUCGCGGCCCAUUUCAGCACGUUCACUCACACAAUGGACCAAUCUUCACAUGGCCCGCCACUCACGCACCGUCCACCACGCACAUGGGAUCCGCACGAAGCCACUGCACCACAAUCAAUUCACGCGGGCCAAAGCUCUCUGCACGUGGACCGCUUCAUCCACUCACGCACAUUCAGACACGCGGAAAGCCCACUUCACACGGACCCGCGCAUUCCUUCACGAUGGCCCAUUUCCACCUUGCACUCACGCAUAUGGACCCGCACAAUCAAUUCACACAGCACGUGGACCAAGCCUCCGCAGACCCGCUUAUGGCCCGCUCUUUCUUUGCACAUGGGCCCGCACACUCAACUCACACACACGGGCAGCAACGCUCACAGCCAAGGGACACACGCGUGCGCGGACAGAAAUUUCCUAAUUAGGGGCACUCCUCUACACCUAUUUAAAGGCUCUUCAGUGAACGAUUACAUAGAAUUCAAUACUCGGCAAUUCCGCAAGUUCGGCGCAGCUCUCUUCGGUUCUUCUUUCUUUCUUUUUCUUUUAUUUUUUUAUUUUUAAUUCAGCCAAUGAGUGGCUGAUUUUUUUCAUCUAGUUGAAUAUUGGUUGAAACUUUAGUUGUUUAAUGGGUUGUGAGACUUAAUCAAAUAUUGUUUAAUUUUGGGAAUUCAAUAUUCAUGCAAUUUCAUAUUUAAUUCUCAUAUUAUUUUGUUAUUGAAAUCUACGUUGAUUUUUUAUUGCAAAAUAAUUAUUUGUUAGUUUGAAUAAUUUAAGUCCGUAAUUACUUGGGUUAUUCUUACAUGAGAACACUUGGGAUAAAACCCAAGGAAAUUGUUUGAUCUAGCGUUAUCUCCAUACGUUUGGGUAACUAGGAUUGGAUCUCUCUAUUUCUUAAUGCAAUUGACAAUUGUUUUGAUGCCUAAGGCCCAAGGACGUUCCUUGGCAAUUUGUUAAUUAGUAAUUAAUUAGAGGACGUUCCCUAAUUGGUUUAAUCAUAAGGAGAGAUAAUGGUGGUGAGAAGCGUCUUCCAUCCCCAUAACUAAUCUAUUGAAUCAACCCAAAAGAACAAAGUGUCUGUGAUCAAUCCCAAUGAUUAAAGUGGAUCCAAUACUUCAACUAGAGCUUUCUUAUUAUUUAUUUCUCUUUUAUUUUAUUAUUCGCUUAUUUUAAUUGUUUUUAGUAGUUUAUUAAUCAAAUCAAUCUCAAACCCCCCCAUUUUACUUUUACUGCAAUUUAUUUUUAUUCCGCUUUCAGUUUAUCUCAUUUUUGGUUUAUCUCAUUGUUUCAGUUUAUUUUAUUGGUCUUGUUGAGAAAAAUAAAUAGGUAAUCAAUUCUCUGUGGAUUCGAUCCUUCACCACUAUCUGCAGUUGUAAAUUGUUGAUAACCAAGAAGGUUAUUUUUGACCGGCUUCGACAACCGCGAGUCAAUGGGCCCCCAUUUUGUUAGUUCUAAAGCUGGGUUUAGAUAUUUGUCACUUUUAUGGACCAUUAUUCGUGUUAGGUUUAGAAUAAUAAAAAAUAGAGAAAAAUAAAACCUUUGAUGAAAAGAAGAAAAAGAAGGCAGAAGAUUUGAGAGAAAAUACAUGAUUAUUCCCUUCAAGCCAAUUGGGGUAUAUAUACUACUUACAAGAGUACAUAUAAUAAAUUAAUUCCCUAAUUAUAGUCUAAUCAUAUUUCAAUCAUAUCACACAAUCAUAUCCCUAAUUAUCACUACAAAUCUAGACUAUUUAUAAAAAUAAUCUCAACAAGGAAAAUAACACAAUAUGAUUUACGUGGUUCGGCCGUUCAACUAUGAGAGCCUACGUCCACGGACACAACCUCAAAGGGCUACAUCUUUACUGACUUACAUUUUGUCUCCCUAUAAUACAAAGGCUUCCCUAUUUAUAACGGAGGCUUCCUUGUUCUGCUUCAGCACUUGACCGAGCAACAACACUUUGUUUUUUAUUCCUCCAGGUGAUAAAGUUCCCUCCCAUAACUAUACAGUAGCCAGAGGUGGAUCUCCUAUCAUCGAGAGAUCCAGACCAACCUGCAUCUGUAAAAGCUUCAAAUUGGAGGUGACUAUAUUUAGAGUAAAGCAGCCCUUUCCUUAUGCAAGCUUUAGGUAUCUCAAGAUGUGAAGGACAACCUGCAUAUGAAUCUCGCCGGAGGUCAUGAAUGAUAUUGCUGACUAAGCAACAACAUAGGCUAUAUUUGGUUGAGUGUAUGAGAUAAAUCAACAUUCCUACCAAUUAUUGGUAUUUUCCAAUAUCCACAGACUCACUAGUUCCUGUUUGCAUCUUGUGAUUACUUUCAAUGAAAAAUUCUGUUGGUUUACACCCAAUAUACAUCUAGAAUGUACUUUUUUUUGAGAUAUAAAGAUUCCUUUUUCUGAUCUAGCCACCUCAAUACCUAGAAAAGAUUGAAUUUUUUCUAGAUCUUUGAUUUCAAAUUCUUGAGCCAACAAUCUUUUUAAUUGAGCCAUUUUCUCUUUAUCAUCACCUAUCACCACUAUAUUAUCAACAUACACAAUAAGAAAGUGAUCUUACAACAUACACAAUAAGAAAGUGAUCUUACCUUUAUGAUUUUGAAUAAAUAGAGUGUGAUCAGCAUUGCUCUAUCAGUAAUCAAAGAACAUCAUGGAUCUGCUAAACCUAUCAAACAACUCAAACCAAGCUCUAGGAGAUUGUUCUAGCCUAUACAAAGCCUUUUUUAACCCGCACAUCUUUUCUUGUAUUUUCUCAUUAGUGAACCUAGAAAGGAUCUCCAUGAACACUUCUUUUUCUAAAUCUCCAUAGAGAAAUACAUUCUUCACAUCAAACUGCUGAAAGUCCCAGUCCAAGUUGACUGUACAAGAUAAUAGGACUCUGAUUGAGUUCAUUUUUGCAACUGACGCAAAUGCCUCUUUAUAAUCUACUCCAUAGAUUUGAGUGAAUCCUUUAGCAACCAAUCUGGCCUUAAAUUGUUUAAUUGAGCCAUUAGCUUUGUGAAUACCCACUUACAGCCAACAAGUUUAUUCGCUAGUGGGAGAGUGACAAGCUCUCAUGUCUCAUUUUUGGCCGGUGCUUUAUCUCUUCAAUAUUGCUCCCUUCUAUUUAGGAUCUACAAGAACUUCCUUCUAAUCCUACGAAUAAACACAGAGAAAAUAGAUAAGGCAAAGGCUCUAUAAGAGGGGACAAUACCUUUUUUUUGUGUAAUAGUUUUAUCUAAAUCAUUGGAGCAUUCAAGAGUUGUAUGUAACUCAUCAAAAAAAUAUUCUUGACUUUAAGUAGACUGCAUAAUGACUUUUUCUGCCUUGUCUCUCCUCGAAUACCUUCUCAAAUCUGGCUUGUCCAAACGUUCAAUUCUCUCCCCUGAUUGGACAUUUCCACCUGUCUACUAAAACUCGCUCUCUGAACUAUAUCAUUCAGAAUCAGAGAAUUCGGGAUCACCUUUUCCUACUCAUUAUUCUCCCUCUGAAGAAGUGAGUGGGUGGAUACCAAAUAAAAUUCAGUUUCUCAGAAAGUAACAUCCAUACAAACAGUAUUUUCUAAAUAGAGGAUGAUAACACCUGUAUCCCUUUUGUGUCGAAGAAUACCCGGCAAACACAUAUUUAAGGGCCUUGGGGUCCAACUUUCCAACCGUCCUAGUAUGGACAAAACAAAACCCAAAUACUUUUGGAGGAACAAUGUAUGAAUUCCUUCCUUGUAGAACCUCCAAAAGGACUCAUAAAAUCAAGGGGCUUGAGGGGCAUUCUAUUGAUAAUAUAAACAAAUAUAAAGACUGCAUUUUCCCAGUAUGCUUUGAGUAGGUCCAUGGUGAACCUAAGAGAUCGAGCUACCUCCAAUAGAUACCUAUUUUUCCAUUCAGCAAUGCCAUUUUGUGCACUAGUAUAAGGACAAUUUGUCUGGUAUACUAUCCCAUUAGACUCCAAAUAAGCAGAAAACCUAUUGUCCAUAUAUUCUCUUCCAUUGUCAGUUCUCAAAAUUUUCACCUUAAUAUAAAAUUGAGUUCAAAUCAUCUUGUGAAAGGAAUGAAAACAAAAAAAAACAAAAAAAAAUAAAAAAAAUAAAAAAAAACAUCACUUUUAACUUUAAUCAAACAAACUAAGCACACUGAGAUUGAUUAUUACUUAGAUAAAAAAAAGCUUCAAUAAGAGAUUAUCUUAAUCGAGCACAUCAAAACUUAAGACAGUUAGGAGAUAUUUUCACUCACAUAAGCUCUAAAUGGAGCUCAUGUAGACCAUAUUUGUAACAAGUAUGAUCAACAUCUAUACUCCAACUCGAAGGGGAGUGCUAUAGAAAGUCAACCUUGUAUAUACGUUUCCCUACUUCAGAAACCGUGUUCCUGUUUAGUUAGAAUAAUAAUUAGGUAUGAUCAUAGGGAUUAUGUUCCUAUUUUAAUUACCAUAAACGUGUUAUAUAUCUGUACCAGAUGAUUGUGUAAAACAAUAAAGUAAUUCCAUGAACACAUAAGUAAUAUACCCAAGAUUGGAAACUAAAAUAAUAGGAGAUAGUAAUAAAAAUAAGAAUAGUAAAAAAUAUACAAAUAAAUCUCCUAACAAUCUGCUAUCACUUCAGUUAUGAGAUUCCAGCAAAUUAAGGGAUUUCAACAUGCUGCUAAAAUUCUCACCUGAAUCAUUAGCAAUUCCAAAUGGACAGCACUCAUCUCACUCUUGUCACCAUAAAACCAAUGGAAGGUGUUCUGCACAGUUAUUUGAACCACAUCCAGCUUCAAGUAGCUGUGAUAAAAACAAUUUAACAAUGUGUCAUAGACAUUGUGGCAAAGCAUAAACUUUCUUAAGCCUAAAUGUCAACUUACUCAGGACUAUCUGUUCUUCUAGGCAUCAAUAUUAUUGGCUUCCUAAGUGAAAUGUCCAACUUCAGAGCAGGUGAUCCUUCAAUUUCACUGGUUGUAAAUGACUUCCCAGAAUUUGUCACUUGAUCAUUUAAUUUAACAAGACCCUUUGAAUUGUUGGGAGAUAGACCCAUAAAGUAACUAACAAUCUGCAUAUCAAAAGUUGACAAUACAUGAGAAGUGAAAUAUAACCAUGUAAAAUGGUUAAAAUGCUUAAAGUUGAUUUACCUCCUGCACGAAUCGAUUCAAAUAGACAAUGCGCACUUCUGAAAGCUGGCCAAAAAGGCUAUAUUCAUAACCUUCAUAGUCUCCGUCAUCAACACUAAAUGAAGCAAAAACCAGCUGCAUAAUAACAAGUUAAGGCUCGUAACCACAACAUAAAAAGAUAAGUAUAUAUACAACAGUUAAAAUACGAGAAAAUAGAAAAUGUUGAAAACCAGCAUCAAAAAGAAAUACAGAAAUCAGAGCACUACAGGCAUACAGUAUUAAACUACAAAGUAACAUAUCAACAAUUGAAAAUCUCGAGAAAACCAAAUACUAUUUUCCUUUGUUGUAACUUGUAAGUUGUAAGAGAAGCACAACAUAAAAGAAAUAAUAAAAAAAAAAAAAAGAAAACAGAGCAAUACACACCUCAACAAAUGAGCUUCCCCCUGGAUUUCUCAUAUCACAGAUCCAGAAAUAUGCAUGGUUGCUAGGAAGACUCUCAUCACUUAUUCUUAGAUUUCCCAGAGCUGCUUUUAUACUAAAAGAGCUUGGAAAUACCUUAUUUAAACAAAAAUUAACAAGCAUAAACAGAUAGUAUCAUUCUAAACAAAAAGAACACUAAGGAAAGGGAAAAAACUGAAGCAAACCUUGAUAUCUGUAAGUAAAUUAUCUUGGGACAAAGACGCUAACUUAGUUUCAUUUUCAUUCAUCAACAUAAUCUGAGCACGGGCCAUAUUCAACACUAUAUUGAAAAUAAUUCUAGAUUUUCCCUUCCCCAGCAAACCCUUAACAACAGGGUCCUCGAUCGUUGACAAAUUUUGGUCAUCAACCACUCCUCUAAUAUCGUCAUGCUCAACCAUCAAUGCUGAAUAAUUACCACUGCCAGAUUCACUAUUUCCUUCUUCAACACUAAUAGCAUUGACAAACUCCAUGAUGGCAAGAAUUGUGGGUCUGCGGCAGAAAAAUGACAAAGUAGCUAGCAUCACUGAUACCUGAAAUCACCAUUUACAAAUUAGUCGGUCCAUUAGCCAACCAAAUGGACUGAAAGCAAACACUCUACCAGAGAAAACUAAUCAACCUGCAUGUCAAUAUUAUUAUAUAGAGAAGAGUUCUGGUCGUAGAUAAUUAUCUGAGCUUUCACAAAACUAUCUAAGGUAUCAGUUAGUUCAACAUCCUCCAUGCGAUUUUGAACAGUAUCAACAGGUAGUAAGCCACUGAUUCGAGUAAAAGUGGGAAGCUUCAACAAGGCAUCUUCGAAUGGAUGUGAAAUUGGGGAAGCCAAACACUCAGGAUCAACCAAAUCCUCUGAUGCUUCGUAGAACUUGUCCUCACCUUCACUAGGUGUGACAUUAUUGUUGUUAAAGCUCUUACUCCCAGCCUGUUCAAGUGAUGACGAAUGCUCUUCACUUCGGAUGAAUGAUCUUGCUAGGAAAGAAGACCGAGAAAUGCCAUUGCAACAAACUAAAUCUUCAAUCUCCAAAGAUUUCAAAACAGUGCCAAUGAACAUGUCAUUUUCUCUAAUUGACAACUCAACCUGUGUUAAAAAAAAAUACCAUAAUGAGAAAAAGAAAAUGCAUGAGUGAACUGAACUGUCAUUCAGUAUCAUUUGUACCUGGCCACCAAUUGCUCGAAAUUCAAAUAAAGGAAUCUCUUCAGAAAGAAGCACCUUUAGAAAACUCAGGUCAUGCUAGCAAAAGCAGCAGAUAUAUAAGAUUUCAAGUUCUUCCAUCGAAAAGGAACAUAAGAACACAUGUUCUCCAGGCUUUACCUGACGAUUGUAAUUGAAGCAAAACUUUAGUUCAUCAAGAACUCCUGUUAAAAAAACACGUUCCAUCUCCAAUGCAUCACUUGUAUCAGUGUUGCUAUUGAGUCCCAUUUCUGAGCUCUCGGAAUCUGAUGAAGUUUCAGAAAGACCAGUAAUAGGUGCUGAACCCUGUGUAGAAAUCCAUGGGUAAGAUCUUUGAUUAUGCCUUCAAAAUGAAACAUUUUGCCACAAACCCUCCAUAAGCACAGAAAUUGUUGUAAUUUUUUACACAUUUCCUGCGCAUUUUUGCUUAAGAUUACUCUUUAGUUUUAUAAUAACUUAUAAACUGAUUAUUGAAUUGUUUAUCAAAGCACAAACAAAAUGAUCUAUAACCUUCUUCCGGUAUUUCUACCAAUAAUUUCUUUAUCUUCUACGUGAAAAUUUCCUGAAAAUGAUAUUUUUAGAAAAACUUAUUAAACCAUUGAUUUAACUACUUCUGUGAAUAAAAUAUUUUACAAAUAAUUAGUUUAUGUUUCUUAAAUGUAAAGGACUAAUUAAAUCAAUUUUAGAAAUUGAAUCAACUAAAACAACAGAAAUUAAACAAGCUUAUGAAGAAAGGAAUAGCAACGAAAAGAUACGUGAAGAAUUUUAGAGUAUUAUUGUAUUUCACUCUUGAUCUUUACAAGUAAUUUAUAUAAUUAUUUAUACACAAAAAAUUACAAGCAAAUAAUAAAAGAAUAAUUAAGGAUCCUAAUUUAUGGCUAGAAUCCAUAAUCAGAUCAGAUCAUAUCAUUAGAAUCAGCAAAUAAGUCAACACUCCCCUCAAGUUGGUGCAUAAAUGUCGCACAUGCCUAACUUGCAAAUUAAAUUAUUGUAGAUCUAUUGUUGAGCCCUUUAGUGAACACAUCUGCAAGUUGCACAGUAGAAGUCACAUGAACUAAACUCAAGACACCGUUUAUUAAUUUUUCUUUAAUGAAAUGUCGAUCAAUCUCAAUGUGCUUCGUUCAGACAUGUUGAACCGGAUUUUGUGCUAUACUGAUGGCAGCUUUGUUGUCACAAUACAAAGUUAUCUUGUCUCUCGAGCAACCUCAACUCCUACAAUAACUUCUGCAACCAUAAAAGUUUACACCUUGGGCCAUUGCUUUGUAUUCUGCUUCAGCACUUGACUGAGCUAAUAACACUUUAUUUUUUGCUCCUACAGGUGACAAGGUUCCCUUUUACAACUGUGCAGUAGCUAGAGGUAGAUCUCCUGUCAUCGAGAGAUCCUACUCAAUCUGCAUCUGUAAAAGUUUCAACUCAAAGGUGACCAUAUAUGGAGUAAAGAAGCCCUUUCCCUGGCGUAGACUUCAAGUAUCUCAAGGUGCGAGGGACAGCUGCAUAUUAGUCUCGCAAGGGUCAUACAUGAAUUGGCUGAGAGAUAAAUCAACCUCCCUACCAAUCAUUGGUAUCUUCCAAUAUUCACAGACUCAUCAGUUCCUGCUUGCAUCUUAUGAUUACUUUCAAUGGGAGAUUCUGCUAGUUUACACUCCAACAUACCAGUAUCUUCCAAAAAGUCCAUAAUAAAUUUUUUUUAGAAGAUAAAGAUUCCUUUUUUUAAACUAGCCACCACAAAACCUAAGAAAUAUUGAAACUUUUUAGAUCUUUGAUUUCAAAUUCUUGAGCCAAUAACCUUUUUAGUUAAGCCACUUCCUCAUUGUCAUCAACAUACACAAUAGAAAGAGUGAUCUUACCCUUGUGAUGUUUAAUAAACAGAGUAUGAUCAACAUUGCUCUGUUAGUAACCACAAGACAUCAUGGUUCUACUAAACCUGUCAAACCAAACUCUAGGAGAUUGUUUUAACUCAUACAAAGCAUUUUUUAAUAUGCACACCUCUCCUUCUAUUUUCUCAUCAGCGAUCCCAAGAGGAAUCUCCAUGAACACUUCUUCCUCUAAAUCCCCAAGAAAGAAAGCAUUCUUCACAUUAAACUGCUAUAAGUCCCAAUCCAAGUUGGCUACACAAGAUAAUAGGACUCUGAUUGAGUUCAUUUUUACAACUGGGCAAAUAUUUCUUGAUAAUCCACUCCAUGGGUUUGGAUAAACCUUUCAGCAACCAAUCUGGGCUUAAACUGUUCAAUUGUGCCAUCAACUUUACACCCAACAAGUUUCUUUCCAGGUGGGAGAGUAACAAGCUCCCAAGUCUCAUUUUUUACCAGUACUUUCAUCUCAUCAAUAAUUGCUCCCUUCCAUUUAGGAUCUACAAGAGCUUCCUCUCAAUCCUGUGGAAUAGAUACAGAGGAAAUAGAUAAAGAAAAGGUUUUAUAGGAGGGAGACAAAGAUUCAUAAGAAAUAGAGUGUUUAUACAAGAUCUGACACAUUUUCUUUGUGCAAUAGGUUCAUCUAAAUUAUUAAAGCAUUCAAGAGUUGUGGGUAACUCACCAGAAGAAGAUUCUUCUUCUGCCUUGUCUCUCCUCGUAUACCUCCUCAAAUCUGGUUUGUCCAGACGUCCAAUUCUCCCAUCUGAUCGGAUAUCUCUCCCUGUCUACUAGAACUAUCUCUCGAAACCAUGUCAUUUAGAAUAAUAGAAUUCGGGAUCACCUCUUCUUUCUCAUUAUUCUCCUCUUGAAGAGGUGAGUGGGUGGUACUAAAGUAGGGUCAGUUUCUCGAAAGGUAACAUCCAUACUGACAAAGUAUUUUCUAGAUAGAGAAUGAUAACACCUGUAUCCCUUCUGUGUCGAAAGAUACCCAACAAACACACAUUUAAGGGCCUUGGGAUCCAAUUUUCUCGCCGUCCUAGUAUGGACAAAGCAAAUACACUCAGAUACUUUUGGUGGAACAAUACAUGAAUUCCUUCCUUGUAGAACCUCCAAAGGACUCAUGAAAUCAAGAGCUUUGAGGGGCAUUCUAUUGAUAAGAUAAGCAGAUACAAGGACUGCUCUUCCAUUGUCAAUUCUCAAAAUUUUUACCUUAAUAUCAAAUUGAGUACAAAACAUCUUGUGAAAGGAUUAAAAACAAGAAAAAACAUCACUUUUUGCUUUAAUCAAAUAGACCCAAGUCAUUCAAAUGCAACAAUCAAUAAAGGUGACAAACCAUUGAUACCAAACAAGGAGAUAGUUUGAUUAGGCCCCCAAACAUCAUAAUAAAGUCAUAAAAGGAAUUUGGCUUUUAUUAUGACUUAAAAGAUAGGAGGUUUUAGUGUAAUUAGCAUACUCACAAGUAUCACAAAAUAAAGAAUCAAACUAAGUUCUAGUAAACAAAUUAGGAUAAACUUUUUCUAAGAUAAAAAAUGGAUGCCUUAACCGCCUGUAUCACUGUAAUAUUUCCUGAUUGACAUUCUUAUUUUCUCCAAAACAGGCUUGAGAUAUCGGAGAACCUGGAUCACCGUCCAAUAUGUAUAAGCCAUCACGCAAUCUACCAUUGCCAAUCCUCUUCCCGGUGAGAAAAUCCUAAAUAACAUAAUGAUCAAGAAAAAACUCAAUUUUAUAGUUAGAAGCAUUAGUGAUAGCACUGACAGAUAAAAGGUUGACAGGAAAUUGAAAACUCGAAGGAUAGAUGAUAAUUUAAUAUCGAACGCACAAAUAACAGAACCUAUUCCGAAUAUGGGAUUAAAAGAGUCAUCAGCAAUUCUGAAACUGCAUUUGCUUAGGGAAAGAAAAUAAUUAAAAAAGCCUUUAGAAGAGCCUGUCAUGUGUCUAUUCGCACCAGAAUCAAUAAUCCAUGUAACAGUUUCAAGAGAAAAAGCAUUACCUGACUUUACAAAGUUAAAUGUAACACCAGACUCCAAGGGAGGAAGAGGUGUCAAUAUGAGACACGAAGCGCUUCAGACCCUUAAUUUCAUUAGAGGAAAGAAACUCAGCAGUUGUUGUCUCCUUAAAGGGCUCCUCCACACGUCUGCUAAAUUAGCUUGAGCUCUAGAGGUACCUCGUUGUUUCCUCCACGGCCUCUAGUGGGACGACCAUAUAACUUCUAGCAAGUCUUCUUGGUAUGCCUCAGUUUCCCAUAAUAGUCACAAUGAUUGUGAUCUUUCUUAGAAUUAGGAGGCUGCGGGUGCUCAAAUUAGUAGACAACCCAGCCUUUUCAACUGGUGC